AUAGCCGUUGUUUCUUGGAUCUCCNAAUACUACAUGGAUAACUGUGGUAAUUCUAGAGCUAAUACAUGCGUACAUGCAUCAACUGGUUUCAGCCGGGCGAUGUGCAUUUAUUGGUACAGAACCAUCCGGCUUCGGCCGUUCAUUGGUGAAUCUAAAUAACUGAGCGGAGCACACACUCUUGCAGUGGUGCCAGUUCUUUCAAGUGUCUACCUUAUCAACUUCCGACGGUAGUUUAUGUGCCUACCGUGGUUGUAACGGGUAACGGAGAAUCAGGGUUUGACUCCGGAGAGGGAGCCUGAGAAACGGCUACCACUUCUAAGGAAGGCAGCAGGCGCGCAAAUUACCCAUUCUCAGCACGAGGAGGUAGUGACGAGAAAUAGCAAGGCGGUGCCCAACGGGUGCCGUCAUUGCAAUGAGUACNAUUUAAAUCCUUUAACGAGGAUCUAGUCGAGGGCAAGUCUGG
rnacentral:rRNA from 1 species